rnacentral:rRNA from 1 species
AUUAAACGCUGGCGGCAUGCCUUACACAUGCAAGUCGAACGGCAGCACGGGGGCAACCCUGGUGGCGAGUGGCGGACGGGUGAGUAAAGCAUCGGAACGUAUCCUGGAGUGGGGGAUAACGUAGCGAAAGUUACGCUAAUACCGCAUAUUCUGUGAGCAGGAAAGCAGGGGAUCGCAAGACCUUGCGCUCUGGGAGCGGCCGAUGUCGGAUUAGCUAGUUGGUGGGGUAAAGGCCUACCAAGGCGACGAUCCGUAGCGGGUCUGAGAGGAUGAUCCGCCACACUGGGACUGAGACACGGCCCAGACUCCUACGGGAGGCAGCAGUGGGGAAUUUUGGACAAUGGGCGGAAGCCUGAUCCAGCCAUGCCGCGUGAGUGAAGAAGGCCUGGUUGGUAAGUACGUCUUUCGGUCGGGGAAGGAAAGUUAGUCGACGGGUUAAGUACCUACGUGUAGA